GGCGGCGUGCUUAACACAUGCAAGUCGAACGGUGAAGCCCAGCUUGCUGGGUGGAUCAGUGGCGAACGGGUGAGUAACACGUGAGCAACCUGCCCUGGACUCUGGGAUAAGCGCUGGAAACGGCGUCUAAUACUGGAUAUGAGACGCAACCGCAUGGUUAGUGUUUGGAAAGAUUUUUCGGUCUGGGAUGGGCUCGCGGCCUAUCAGCUUGUUGGUGAGGUAAUGGCUCACCAAGGCGUCGACGGGUAGCCGGCCUGAGAGGGUGACCGGCCACACUGGGACUGAGACACGGCCCAGACUCCUACGGGAGGCAGCAGUGGGGAAUAUUGCACAAUGGGCGGAAGCCUGAUGCAGCAACGCCGCGUGAGGGAUGACGGCCUUCGGGUUGUAAACCUCUUUUAGCAAGGAAGAAGCUUUUUGUGACGGUACUUGCAGAAAAAGCGCCGGCUAACUACGUGCCAGCAGCCGCGGUAAUACGUAGGGCGCAAGCGUUAUCCGGAAUUAUUGGGCGUAAAGAGCUCGUAGGCGGUUUGUCGCGUCUGCUGUGAAAUCCCGAGGCUCAACCUCGGGCCUGCAGUGGGUACGGGCAGACUAGAGUGCGGUAGGGGAGAUUGGAAUUCCUGGUGUAGCGGUGGAAUGCGCAGAUAUCAGGAGGAACACCGAUGGCGAAGGCAGAUCUCUGGGCCGUAACUGACGCUGAGGAGCGAAAGGGUGGGGAGCAAACAGGCUUAGAUACCCUGGUAGUCCACCCCGUAAACGUUGGGAACUAGUUGUGGGGUCCUUUCCACGGAUUCCGUGACGCAGCUAACGCAUUAA
rnacentral:rRNA from 1 species